GGGCCGCUAGCUCAACUGGCAGAGCAGCGGACUUUUAAUCCGCGGGUUCAGGGUUCGAGCCCCUGGCGGCCCACCA
rnacentral:tRNA from 2 species